UUUUAAAACCCUAAAACGGCUGGAGUCAUAUUCUAACUCAUUCCUAUCAACAUUCCUCUCAAUUUUAAUCCUUGGCUGAUUUGGGUUGAUUGAUUUCUGGGUUUUAUUGUUCUUAGUCUAAUCAAGAGACCCGUCGACUGCUCGUGCUUCGGAGUCUAUGCAGGAUUAGCUGUUUGCCAAGAUUUACGUGGAUAAGCAAGCAGUUUAUGAUUUGAAAGCUGGUCCACUCCGAUUCUUUUGAUUCUUCGGAGGUUUUUAUGUUAUUUAACUAGUUACUGUUUUCGAACUCUUAGACCGCAGUAGAACUAGUUUAUUUAUUACAUCUGAUAUUACACUUUGGAAUUGUCGAUAUAUUCGAUUAUUUAUAUUUGGCAUGAUUACUCCGGAUUACGAUAUUGUUAUAUAUAAGGCAUGCUGUUGAACAUUUAAGAUAUUUAAGUUAUUUAUAUUUGAACUGUAUUAUAAAUUGCUAGACCUAGGUUGGAGUCUCGGUUGCCCCCGAGCAGUUUUCUGCAGGUUUAAAUGUUUAUUUGAUUUCUGCGAGGCUUGCUACGGGUUUUGGUACAACCAUACCCAUACCCUAGCGCCGGUCACGAUUCAUGAAAUUGGGUCGUGACA